rnacentral:rRNA from 1 species
UACGUAGGGACCGAGCGUUGUCCGGAAUCAUUGGGCGUAAAGAGCGUGUAGGCGGCCACUUAAGUCCUGCGUGAAAUCUUGCGGCUCAACCGCAAGCGGUCGUGGGAAACUGGGUGGCUAGAGUGCGGAAGAGGAGAGUGGAAUUCCCGGUGUAGCGGUGAAAUGCGCAGAUAUCGGGAAGAACACCCGUGGCUAAGGCGGCUCUCUAGUACGGUACUGACGCUGAGACGCGAAAGCGUGGGGAGCGAACAGG